CUCGCUUCUCCUUUAGUUUUAAAAACAGAUGUGAAUGGAACCUGAAAUCGAUAAGUCCACAAAACCAAAUCAGAUGCUGUUGUGUGGUCGAGUGAAGUUCAAAUCUUGACUGAGAAUGAUUUUGUUGAAGAUUUUUGGUGCUUUUGAGCAUGUAAGCAAGGGUGGAAGGCUGGCCGCAGACCUGUCAUUGGUCCUGAUGGAUGUUUCUUGAAGCACUUUUUGUAAAGGACAACUGUUAUAUGCCAUUGGGAGAGAUGGGAAUAAUCAAAUGUUCCCCAUUUCUUGGGGUGUUGUGGAAUUGGAGAGUGCAGGUACUUGGAAAUGGUUUUUGGAUCAUUUGAUGGCAGAUCUUAAUGUUGCCAAUGAAGGUGAAGGGUUCACAAUCUUCCCUGACGUGAAAAAGGGUCUUCUAUCAGCUGUUCAUAAGGUACUCCCAAAUGUUGAACACAGACAUUGCGUCAGACACGUACACGCUGCCUAGCAGAAAAAAAUGGAAAGGAAAUGAGAGGAAGCUUCAGUUCCGGGCAUGUGUUAGAGCAACAUCUGUAAACAAUUAAAAAAAGAGUUUGAAGAACUUGAUAAAAUGGGUCAUGUAAUAGUGUAAAUGUCUUAAGAGUAAGGAGAGCAUAGUUUUUUCAAGCCUUUUUUGUCAGCACAGUCCCACAAUGUGAUGAUGUUGGCAAUAACAUUAUGAAAGCUUUUAAUGGAUGGAUUCUUGGUGCAAGGGCCAAACUAACUGUAACAAUGCUAGAAGAAAUCACAGUUACGAUUAUGAAUAGGAUACUUGUGAAGAGGGGCUGUGCAUUGAAGUGGAAAACACCAAUUGCUCCAGAAGUGUUUAAGAUAUUUGGAAAAAACAGAGUAGAAGCAGUUGAUUGGGCUCUUGAAUACAAUGGAGAUGAUGGAUACGAGAUUAUCAAAGGUGACAUGAAGCAUGUUGCAUGUUGGCCUUAGAAACAAAACUUGCAUUUGUAGAGCUUGGAUCUUAUAGGCAUUCCAUGCCCUCAUGCAAUCACUGCAAUAUACAUGGAGAUGUGGUCCCUGAAACUCAAAUAGCACUUUGGCAUCAUAGUGAAACAUAUCGAAGUACAUAUUCCUUCUCUUUAAAACUUGUUAGAGGUCAGACUUUUUGAUCUCCCACUGAAAAUGCUCCUCCAGAAAUUAAGAAGAAGCCUGGAUGACAGAGAAGAAAUAGAAUACAAGACCAAUAGGAGCCAAGGAAGAAAGGAAAAUUGUCUAGUCAGGGUGGCUUCAAGACAUGCAAGAAUUGCGGUCAAGUUGGGCAUAACAAAAGGAGUUGUAAACAACCUAAAAGAACUCGCCAGGUGUUAUGUGCAGCUACUGGCCUUGAUUUUGAGUUAUCUAUUUUACAAGUUAACUAGUUAUUUUGUCUUUGGUAGGACACUAACAGGGAUAGUGGUGCAACCAGCAGUAAUAAACAAAGGUUUGAAACUCCUAUGAAUGUUUUAAAAUCAAGCACACGAUCUGACGUGAAUAUUGGUGGAAACAAAAGUGAAGAAGAGCAAAAAUUCUCUAUGCAUCAAGUUGACCAAGAAAAUAGUAAAGGUAAAAGGAAAGAAAAGGUCAUUGACAAUCAAACAAGACGAAGAAAAAGGGUAGAGGCCCUGAUGUUACACCGCAGUUAUCUAAAAUGCAGAAAUUGAAUGGGCAUGGAGUUUAUGUUAGCACCAGAACUGCUGCGCGCAUUGUUAAUGAUUAUAAUACCGGGACCUUUAAAAAUGAAAAAUGCUGAUACCGGUUCAACGGUCCGUCAAGCUUCUACAGCUGCAAAACUGAAUCAGCCAGCACAAGGUUCAACCUUGCAUAAAGCUUCACAGAAUGCAAGCUGGAACUAAGCAUCAACUACCAAAAAGGUUCAAUCUGAUUUGCAAGGUGUAGCUGACCAUGGAUUCCAGUUAUGAUCCUUGUUUUUGAUAGAUAUGAAUGUAAUGAAUGUUAUAUUUUGUGGGUAUUGUCCUCUGAUGAUAUGCCCGGUAUUAUCAUCUCAUCUACAUUAUACUGCCAUGAAAACUUUAGAUUGUUUCAGGUACAAAACAGAAGCUUAAAUUAUUCUUUGUAGGUUGUUAUGCUGUGACUUCACUUAUUCGUUGUUGGAUUUUGUACCUGAUUAUCAGUUUGUGCCUUGCUACUGUGGUUUUGUUUUAUUUAUUUUUAGUCUAACUGUAAUUUACUUGAUAAUUGCAGUUUUUGUCACCUGAUUUUUUGUA